AGAAUCAGUACUCUUGCAUAUCAGGGCUGCACAUAUUGUUCUGCCCCUCUUUGUGUUGCAUUAGAGACAUCUAGUGGUGUAAAUUUAUAUUGCAUUUGAGUUCUCAUAUUUAGUCCCUCCUCUCUUGCCGUUAUUUUUGCCCGUGUGCUUCUGACUCUGAUCUACUGAGAGGUCUCGCAGCAGUUACUCUUUUCUCUUUGCCUUGGUAGUUUUUGAAGGUCUAAGUCUUGUGUGCAGUGAAUGAAGAGCUCAGUGGAAACUUGUGAAACAUCUGUCAGUCUGUGUGUUAUUCCACAAACUUCUGCUUUGACCUGCAGACCAAACACACACUCCUGUCAGUAACUGCCUGUCAAGAUUUCAUGAAACAAUGGCAGAACUAAACACCAGCAUCAAUGGAUCAAGUGGAGGAGAUUAUGAAGAUGAAU